AGUAAUUGCCCCCAGGGAGAGCAGAGGCCGCCAGCUCACACCCGUGCUGCUGUCGGGGCAGGAGAGGUGCCCAGGUGUGUUGCAUCGCUGUAUCCCGUGAUGAGGGGCAAGAACUCCCACAGCUCACACGGCUGGUCUGUAAACAGGGCAGCAGCAGCAGUAAGAGCUGGUUUCCACACUUGUCUCUGUCCCUGGUUUUCUGUGCUUUCAUCCUCCAGCAUGCCUAGCGAGGAUGGUCAUCCCUGACCUGCUUCUGUAAAAUGGCUCAAGGCCCUGGGACUGCUCAUGGUGCUGCUUUUGCCUUGUCUGUAGCCCAAGGAUGUUGGGGCACUGCGGGCAGGGAGGAAACCCUUUCUACAAACACCCGCUGGCAGAAGCGCUGUCCUUGAGCAGCUCUUUGCACAGUAGCGUGCAAAUCCUCCAGAAGAGAGCCCUGCUUUGUCCAGUGCACCCGGCGUUGGAUGCAUCCAGCCGUGCUUCACAAGCUGAGUAGAAGCGAGAUCUGCCUUCAUCAGGAGCUAACAGAAGCGAGACCACGAAAAGAACAGACACAAAUGGCUUUAAAACAAAGACCGGUGUAUUUCUACUAGACUAUUUGAUACAGAGGAUGCCUGUAGGAUGAAUGGUCACUGAGCCACAAUGAAGCCUCUAGGGAAGUGCCAAGGGGGCUGCAAGGAAAACAGACUACAGAAUGAAAAGCAGAACUUCUUGGGAAGCCCAAGACUACUUGCUCUUCAGACUGUGUCAGAAGACAUAGAGGAUGGGUUUGUUUGAGGACUAGUAAAAGAAGAAAAUACACUAUGUUGAAAUAGUCUUACCAGAAGUUUUUGGGCUGGAACUGGUGGCUCUCAAUACAGGCAAUAAUUGUCUGCUGCCCAUCUAUAGAUUUACCAUAAACCUGUAUUUAGAAAAAGAGUUAAAAAGGCCCAAGAGCUGAGGAAAGCCAUUCUUAAUUUCUGUUCUUGGCAGCAUUGUGGAGGCUUGCUAUUGUGGUAUCUCACUGGAAACAUAUACCACUAAUUGUCCAACACCUCCACUUGCACGUAUGUACAAAUAAUGCCUCCUUUUUAUUAACUGCAGGUGUUAAGGUGCGUGGCAGUCACAACUAUGAAAAAUAAGGUCUAAUACGUCUUUACCACUGUGUGCAUACCAAGAUAUUUGCACCCUCUUUGGAACUUGUUAUUCCAAAGUUAGCAAAAAUGCUAGUGAGGAUGGAGAAUUCGAAAAGCACUGCCCAGCACAAAGUCCACUCAAGGUACUGACUGACAUGGAGCAAUGAACUUUCAGUGAAACAAGAUGGAUACUCAACAGUACAGAAGCCAUUGGGGUAAUGAUCUUUCACAUAAGCUCUCAGUGCACUGUCACAGGCAUCUCUCCAUUGUUUUAAAGCUGAUUCUGUGUCCUCAGGCUGGGGGUCACUUGCUUCUUUCCUUAAAUGAUCAAACUUAAAAGAAAGUUUGUUUCUUGGGUCUAAAAAUCUGCCGUUGCCCAGAUCACCAUGUUCUGUGAUUAAGACCUGUAAAAGAAGUUGAAAUUAAGAUACACUUAUACUGCUGUAAAUGUGCUGGUUUGCAUUUUUUCCUGACUAUUUGAAUAGAUAUCAAUGUUUCAA